rnacentral:lncRNA from 1 species
GGAGAAGGGGGUGGAUAUAAUAAAACAUGAAUCCUGCUCUCUAAAAGCUGAGUGCAGAUAGAGAAGAUACUAUUUCUAGGGCACCCACCACGCGCCAGGUGUGUGCUAAAUAUUCUGCAUAUAUUGUCUCAUUUAUUCUUCACCAUCAUCAAAAUGUAAAUAAUAGAUGAGGCAACUGAGGAUCUGGAUGUUAAAGCUACUUGCUCAAGAUGACACAGCUAGUAAGAAGCAGAAUGGAGGGGCCGGCCCGGUGGCGCAGCGGUUAAGUUCACACGUUCUGCUUCUGUGGCCCAGGGUUUGUCGGUUCGGAUCCCAGGUAUGGACAUGGCACCGCUUGGCAAGCCAUGCUGUGGUAGGUGUCCCACAUAUAAAGUAGAGGAAGAUGGGCACAGAUGCUAGCUCAGGGUCAGUCUUCCUCAGCAAAAAGAGGAGGAUUGGCAGCAGAUGUUAGUUCAGGGCUAAUCUUCCUCAAAAAAAAACCCAUAUAAGAAUGGAGAUUCCUCCUCGAUCUCUGAGACCUGAAGCCUGGUUCUUUCCUCUAUGCUGUACUAUCAUCCAAAAUAAGGAUGAAGUAGAAGGUAGGCAGUGACCCUGGAAGUUCAGACAAAGUGCCAUGGAAGGUCAGGGGGAACACUUUCAUGCAUGGGACUGCUGACCACUUCUGGAAAGUAGAAGCCAUCCACAUGGGUCUCUCUAACACCCAUCCCCUACCCUGGAUGAAAACUGAAAAUUCCACAGAACCUCAGGUACUUGUGAUCUCCAACAUGAAACCACCAGUUUUUUGGAAUCAACUUUCCAUUUCUAUCAGAUGGUUUGUGCGUGACAGACACAGCCUUAGGGGUUUUUCCAUUCUGCCUUGCCUGGCACUAAGCAUCUGUGUGGCUGUGUUCCAUAUGGAACAGGGCGCUGGGAGCAGGCAGAGGUUAACCUUUUUUGAAGUUGGAAACUGUCAGUUUCAGGAUUUCAAAAUGUUUGCUGUCUAGGGUGGAGAUUGCCUUGGGAACAAAGUCACCCUUUGUUCUAGGAGGUCCCCUCUGCUGGGCACUGCUAGUCAAGACUUGUGAGCCAAUAUUCAAAUCUGGGAAGUCACCCAAAGGCAGAUGAUGCAAGCUGUCUAUGUUCUGGUUAGUCCCAUAAAGUGAGGAUGCAACAGAAGGGCGGGAGAGAGUUUCUUUUCUCCUAAAGCUAAAUUGAAAGUAUCCUAUGUCAGAAAAAAGUAUUAGCGCUGUCUAUGUGUUUCUCAUGGAGAUUAUGAGUGUUGGCCAAGGCAGGUUUCCUUCACAUCGGGUUAGAAGAAAGACUGUCCUGGGCUUGGUAGAGAGCUAUGCACAGGGUGAUGGCUUCACACACAGAGCGAGCAGCCCCCACUGGGAACCUGGCCUGGUUCAGCUGCAACAGUCCAGUCCUGGCCAUUUGCGUCAGACCACAGUGUGUGUUGGGUGAGGUGCUAAGGAGGGGAAAUUCCAGGUCUUCAGGAGCAAGAGAAAGCUGGGUAACAUAUCUUCUCAACGAGCGAGGCAUCGUCCUGGAAAUCCGGUCUUCCUCAUCCCACCAGCUUCGAUUGUUCAGCUACUCCGCUCAUUGUUUUAACUGGCAGUUUUCAAAGAAAUCAACAUGAAGAAUUCUGCAAAGCAAAGUUGGGCAUUUGAUUGUAAAAUCUGGUGUGAAGGCACGAUGGCGUGCUACUGGGAGAAUCAGAACAGCUUCCAACUUCAUAAGCCGUUCAUGAAGCUUAGAUUCUAAACACACAGACGUCUUUCUUGACUAAGGACAAUGUCACAGGUGAUUUUCUGGCUGCUUUUGAUUAAGUACCUAUACCUUUAAUUCUUUUUAAAUCACAAACAGUUUUUAAGUGAUUUGGAACUUGGCUUCCGGACUCAAACUGCGAAGGUUGAAAUCUUUAGCUCUGCGGCUCUGACCAGCUGACCAGCUUUCUUCAGCUUCUUGAAGCCUCGGUUCCUUUUUAAGUCAUUAAAAAGGGACUAAGAAUCCUUAUGUCAGGGCAUGAAGUGAGGAUUUAGUGAAAUAAUACAUAAAGUGCCUUGCACAAUUCCCAGAA